rnacentral:lncRNA from 1 species
GCCUAUAGCAUCCGAUCCCUAUACUACUAGUGCGACUGCUCUCUCUCUUGUUGUGUAUCUCGCGCAUGUCCUUAUUGUUUCACGUCUCUAGUUUCGAUAGCUCCAUUCGUUCUCAGCAUCUACUAGUUAUUAGUAGUAGUUUCUUCGUAAGGCGUCGUCGUAUAAUAGUAUAUAAUAGGUGGUUUACCAGGUCGCACCCACUAAAAAAGAGAUAUAUAUAUAGUAGUUGGUGUGUCAACCCGAAGCUAGGAUCCAACAACCACCAGAUAGACCCCCCCCGACGAGUGGCAGUACCUUCCGUCAAAAGAGAGAAGAGAAUACACAGAGGAAUGCGAGAGAGUGCUCCAAGUGCUUCAUCAGAGUCGUAGUUAUCUAUCAAAAAAAGAAAGAGAAGUAGGCUAGACCUCCACAACAACAAGGACGCAGCACACCAUCAUUAUUACCUUCCUUCCAACUCUCAAUUGCAAAGAGCUUUAAAGCCCAUGAAAACGAAACACUAACUACCGCGUCAUAAUAAUAUGUUAAUAAACCUGCUAGCCACUCCCGUCUAUACUGCUAUAGGAAGCUGUCCACAUCAUACUACUAUUAACUCCGUCGUCACACUCGAAAAAAGGCUGCCAUCAUCCGACUUGACCAACCCAUAAUACUACAAGCUCACCCAACUACCCUAUUUUAUUAGACUACUACUAGUUGUAGUAGAGUACACCCUAACCAAACUCUGUCACCAACAAUAAGACACUCUCCAGACUGAUAAUACUUCUACGUAAAACUUCUUCACUAGCGUAGUAGAGGCUAGCAGGAGCUGGAGGUGAAAGAGCAGCUGGCAGUCGUCGAUCAAUCACUUGACGGCCGGCAAGCUGGUGCUCAACGCUAGAGGCUGGGUAAUGGGCAUGAGGAUGAAGCUACUAGUAGGACAGGCUGGCAAUCAGCAGCUAGUAUAGGCCGGACUUGUUGACGGUAGAGUAGGUGGAGGGCUAGCUUAUACGGGAGGUAGUACGAGUUGAUCAUGACUGGAGAGGGACGUUGGUGUCGCUAGUUGACUGUUUGCAGUUGGUGGUCGAACAUAUUGUUACUGCUACUAGGUGGACUGAAUGAUCGAAUCGUAUAUCGUUGCUUUCAGACUACUGCUUCCCGGAUUGCUGACUAGCUACAUUGGACUUGCCACCACUUUUUCUGUUUCUCUUUGCUUGCGUUCCCGCUCGUACUACUCAAUCAGAUCUGCCCACUCCUAUUCCGGCCUGAAAAUGAACUACGAAACGACUGUCGACAUUAGCUUCAUAUAGCAAUCAUGUCCGAACAAUCAUAGCUGGCUAUAUACUACUAGAGGUCCGAGAGGGAGGUGGUGGCGACCGUUGGGGAAAUGCGAAUAUGGGCGGGCUGUCGAGAUGCGGUUGACUUUUCUUGUAAGUAAGUAGAGAGAUUCUAUUGGUGGGGCACAUCCCUUCGGCUACUAGGGCAAUUGCCAGAUCGAGGGCGGGAAGUCGUGAACACUCGGGCAAGGGCUACCAGAGGUUUCGAAACGUAUAAUGCAACUCCACCUCCAACUAGGCAACUAGACUAGAACACCAGCAUGUAUAGGCCAAACAUCCCUUCUUCUGAACUGAUACGCCGAUUUCGUGGUCCGAUAGCUAGCUGCUCUUAUACUCUCUGGUUGGUCGUUCCGCGGGUUGGAGCAUCAGGGCGCUCCACUUGUUGCUGCAUUUCAAUCAUGAUAGUCAUCGAGGGGUGGAAAGUAGUAGCUAGACUGUCAAGUAUAGAUGGUCGUUUAUUUCCGAUAGCAUGAGCAAGUACGGGAGUGGGAGGAAACCUUGAUGAUGGUGCACUGAUGCCGUGAGCUGCUGGCUCGAACAUCCAAGUGAGCAACGUAUAUAGUGUUCGGAUACAACAUGAGUGUUCAACGAGUACGAGUGGCAUAUAUUAUUGGCAUAGCAACAGCAUUGGUUUCGCAUUACUCAAUAUCGCCUAUGGUUCGAGUGGUUGUUGGAGUACUGAGAUGGUCUAGCAGUUUAUAGGCCCAACCACCUAUGGUACUCAUCGAGGCACCGGUCGGUGUACUAUCAUAUGAACACCAACAUCAUGUUGCUAUUGAUAAAUAAUAAGUAGUAGUAGCAGUAACAAGUCCAAGUAGUUCAUAGUAGUACCAAGCUGUGAAACGAAACACGGAUGGGUGGUACUAGUUAGUAGCUGGGAGUUCAGUUCAAAGGUCGGGGGAUCACCAGUAGUAGUAUAGGGACCCCCAGA